UACGGAGGGUGCAAGCGUUGUCCGGAAUCACUGGGCGUAAAGGGCGCGUAGGCGGCUCAUGAAGGCUGUGGUGAAAAGUCCGGGGCUCAACCUCGGAUCGGCCGUGGCGACUCGGUGGGCUGGAGCACUGUAGAGGCGGGUGGAAUUCCGGGUGUAGCGGUGGAAUGCGUAGAGAUCCGGAAGAACACCAGUGGCGAAGGCGGCCCGCUGGGCAGUGGCUGACGCUGAGGCGCGACAGCGUGGGGAGCAAACAGG
rnacentral:rRNA from 1 species